rnacentral:misc_RNA from 1 species
CUGAAUCUUGCACGCUGCAUUGAUAUUAUAUACAAGGAUGACGAUGGAUACACAAAUUCUCACAUUUUGAAAGACCACGUUGCCUCAUUGCUCAAGGAACCUGUUCUCGUUUGACAUUGUGUGUGUGUAAUUCCCUGCUUAAUUGCUUGAGCUUUUCAACAAUAGGGUUACACUGCUUAAAANNNNNNAUCUAUGUUGUGUUUCCUUAUGUGUCUCAAAUAAAAUGAUUUAGAUGUAAGCACCUACGAU